UCCAGACUCCUACGGGAGGCAGCAGUGGGGAAUAUUGCGCAAUGGGCGAAAGCCUGACGCAGCGACGCCGCGUGAGGGAUGGAGGUCUUCGGAUCGUAAACCUCUGUCAGCAGGGAAGAACGGUCACUGUGCUAAUCAGCAGUGAAUUGACGGUACCUGCAAAGGAAGCACCGGCUAACUCCGUGCCAGCAGCCGCGGUAAUACGUAGGGGGCAAGCGUUAUCCGGAUUUACUGGGUGUAAAGGGAGCGUAGACGGCAGUGCAAGUCUGGAGUGAAAGGCGGGGGCUCAACCCCCGGACUGCUCUGGAAACUGUACGGCUGGAGUGCAGGAGAGGUAAGUGGAAUUCCUAGUGUAGCGGUGAAAUGCAUAGAUAUCACGCAGAACUCCGAUUGCGAAGGCAGCAUACCGGCGCCCAACUGACGCUGAAGCACGAAAGCGUGGGUAUCGAACAGGAUUAGAUACCCGAGUA
rnacentral:rRNA from 1 species